rnacentral:rRNA from 1 species
CCCAGACUCCUACGGGAGGCAGCAGUGGGGAAUAUUGCACAAUGGGGGAAACCCUGAUGCAGCGACGCCGCGUGAGUGAAGAAGUAUUUCGGUAUGUAAAGCUCUAUCAGCAGGGAAGAUAAUGACGGUACCUGACUAAGAAGCCCCGGCUAACUACGUGCCAGCAGCCGCGGUAAUACGUAGGGGGCAAGCGUUAUCCGGAUUUACUGGGUGUAAAGGGUGCGCAGGUGGCAGGGCAAGUCAGAUGUGAAAGCCCGGGGCUCAACCCCGGUAUUGCAUUUGAAACUGUCCGGCUAGAGUGCAGGAGAGGUAAGCGGAAUUCCUAGUGUAGCGGUGAAAUGCGUAGAUAUUAGGAGGAACACCAGUGGCGAAGGCGGCUUACUGGACUGUAACUGACACUGAGGCACGAAAGCGUGGGGAGCAAACAGGAUUAGAUACCCUCGUA